AAUGUGGAUUUUGGUGUUACACCUCAAUGGAGGCAGAAAAAAUGUGGAUUUUGGGAUUACACCUGAUGGGAGGCAGUGAGAAUGUGGAUUUUGGGAUUUACAGCUGAGGGAAUGGAGGCAGUGAGGAUGUGGAUUUUGGGGUUACAUCUGAAUAGAGGCAGUAAAAAAAUGGAUUUUGGGGUUACAGCUGAGGGGAGAAUGUGGAUUUUGGGAUUUACAGCUGAGGGAAUGGAGGCAGUG